CCUACGGGAGGCAGCAGUGAGGAAUAUUGGUCAAUGGGCUUACGCCUGAACCAGCCAAGUCGCGUGAGGGAAGACUGCCCUAUGGGUUGUAAACCUCUUUUGUCAGGGAGCAACGCCGGCUACGUGUAGCCGGACUGAGAGUACCUGAAGAAAAAGCAUCGGCUAACUCGGUGCCAGCAGCCGCGGUAAUACGGAGGAUGCGAGCGUUAUCCGGAUUUAUGGGGUUUAAAGGGUGCGUAGGCGGAAUGCCAAGUCAGCGGUAAAAUCGCGGGGCUCAACCUCGCUCCGCCGUUGAAACUGGCGUUCUUGAGUGGGCGAGAAGUAUGCGGGAUGCGUGGUGUAGCGGUGAAAUGCAUAGAUAUCACGCAGAACUCCGAUUGCGAAGGCAGCAUACCGGCGCCCAACUGACGCUGAAGCACGAAAGCGUGGGUAUCGAACAGGAUUAGAUACCCCGGUAGUC
rnacentral:rRNA from 1 species